CCUACGGGGGACAGCAGUGAAGAAUAUUGGACAAUGGGCGGAAACCUGAACCAGCCAAGUCGCGUGAGGGAAGACGGUCCUAUGGAUUGUAAACCUCUUUAGGCGGGGAGCAAUGCCGGGCACGCGUGCCCGGAGGGAGAGUACCCGCAGAAUAAGCAUCGGCUAACUCCGUGCCAGCAGCCGCGGUAAUACGGAGGAUGCGAGCGUUAUCCGGAUUUAUUGGGUUUAAAGGGUGCGUAGGCGGAUUUUUAAGUCAGCGGUAAAAUGUCCGGGCUCAACCCGGGCCGGCCGUUGAAACUGGGGAUCUUGAGUGUGCGAGAGGUAUGCGGAAUGCGUGGUGUAGCGGUGAAAUGCAUAGAUAUCACGCAGAACCCCGAUUGCGAAGGCAGCAUACCGGUGCACAACUGACGCUCAGGCACGAAAGCGUGGGUAUCGAACAGGAUUAGAUACCCUUGUAGUC
rnacentral:rRNA from 1 species